CUACGUGCCAGCAGCCGCGGUAAUACGGAAGGUUCGGGCGUUAUCCGGAUUUAUUGGGUUUAAAGGGAGCGUAGGCCGGAGAUUAAGUGUGUUGUGAAAUGUAGACGCUCAACGUCUGACUUGCAGCGCAUACUGGUUUCCUUGAGUACGCACAACGUUGGCGGAAUUCGUCGUGUAGCGGUGAAAUGCUUAGAUAUGACGAAGAACUCCGAUUGCGAAGGCAGCUGACGGGAGCGCAACUGACGCUGAAGCUCGAAGGUGCGGGUAUCGAACAGGAUUAGAUACCCUGGUAGUCCGCACAGUAAACGAUGGAUGCCCGCUGUUGGUACCUAGUAUCAGCGGCUAAGCGAAAGCAUUAAGCAUCCCACCUGGGGAGUACGCCGGCAACGGUGAAACUCAAAGGAAUUGACGGGGGCCCGCACAAGCGGAGGAACAUGUGGUUUAAUUCGAUGAUACGCGAGGAACCUUACCCGGGCUUGAAUUGCAGAGGAAGGAUUUAGAGAUAA
rnacentral:rRNA from 1 species